rnacentral:misc_RNA from 1 species
AGCAGCCGCGGUAAUUCCAGCUCCAAUAGCGUAUAUUAAAGUUGUUGCAGUUAAAAAGCUCGUAGUUGAACUUCAGGCCUGUCCAGAUGGUCCGCCUUAAUUGGUGUGUACUGUCCUUGGGUGGGUCCUACCUUCUGGCGAAGCGGCAUGGCCUUAAUUGGUUGUGUUGGGGAACCAGGACUUUUACUGUGAAAAAAUUUAGAGUGUUCAAAGCAGGCAAAUAUGCUCGAAUACAUUAGCAUGGAAUAAUGGAAUAGGACGAUGGUUCUAUUUUGUUGGUUCUAGGACCGUUGUAAUGAUUAAUAGGGAUAGUUGGGGGCAUUAGUAUUCAAUUGUCAGAGGUGAAAUUCUUGGAUUUAUUGAAGACUAACUACUGCGAAAGCAUUUGCCAAGGAUGUUUUCAUUAAUCAAGAACGAAAGUUAGGGGAUCGAAGACGAUCAGAUACCGUCGUAGUCUUAACCAUAAACUAUGCCGACUAGGAAUCGGGCGAUGUUGACAAAAAUGACUCGCUCGGCACCU